rnacentral:rRNA from 1 species
UACGUAGGGUGCAAGCGUUGUCCGGAUUUAUUGGGCGUAAAGAGCGUGUAGGCGGCUAGGUAGGUCCGUUGUGAAAACUCGAGGCUCAACCUCGAGACGUCGAUGGAAACCAUCUAGCUAGAGUCCGGAAGAGGAGAGUGGAAUUCCUGGUGUAGCGGUGAAAUGCGCAGAUAUCAGGAAGAACACCCGUGGCGAAGGCGGCUCUCUGGUACGUGACUGACGCUGAGACGCGAAAAGCGUGGGGGAGCAAACGGG